rnacentral:rRNA from 1 species
CCUACGGGAGGCAGCAGUGGGGAAUCUUGCACAAUGGAGGAAACUCUGAUGCAGCGAUGCCGCGUGAGUGAAGAAGGCCUUUGGGUUGUAAAGCUCUUUUGUAGGGGAAGAUAAUGACUGUACCCUAAGAAUAAGGUCCGGCUAACUUCGUGCCAGCAGCCGCGGUAAUACGAAGGGACCUAGCGUAGUUCGGAAUUACUGGGCGUAAAGCGCGCGUAGGCCGUUGAGUUAGUUAAUUGUGAAAUCCCAAAGCUUAACUUUGGAACUGCAAUUAAAACUGCUCGACUAGAGUUUGAUAGAGGAAAGCGGAAUACAUAGUGUAGAGGUGAAAUUCGUAGAUAUUAUGUAGAACACCAGUUGCGAAGGCGGCUUUCUGGAUCAACACUGACGCUGAGGCGCGAAAGUAUGGGUAGCAAAGAGGAUUAGAUACCCUCGUAGUCCAUACCAUAAACGAUGAUUGCUAGAUGUUGGAAAUUUAUUUUCAGUAUCGCAGCUAACGCAUUAAGCAAUCCGCCUGGGGAGUACGACCGCAAGGUUAAAACUCAAAAGGAAUUGACGG